rnacentral:rRNA from 1 species
UACGAAGGGGGCUAGCGUUGCUCGGAAUCACUGGGCGUAAAGGGCGCGUAGGCGGAUCUUUAAGUCGGGGGUGAAAGCCUGAGGCUCAACCUCAGAAUUGCCUUCGAUACUGGAGAUCUUGAGACCGGAAGAGGUAAGUGGAACUGCGAGUGUAGAGGUGAAAUUCGUAGAUAUUCGCAAGAACACCAGUGGCGAAGGCGGCUUACUGGUCCGGUUCUGACGCUGAGGCGCGAAAAGCGUGGGGAGCAAACAGG